UUUUUUAGCAAAUUAGAAACUUAAGCCCCCGUUUGAUCCCCAUUAAAUUAAAUUACAUUACAUUCUAUUUUUCUCUCUCCUAUUUUCAAUCACACAAUCUUCCAUAAAAUAAUAUUGCAUAUAAAUCGAAAAUUUUUCCUUCUUUUUCAAUCACUUAUUUUUCUAAAAAAUACUAUUCCCCCCAUUUUUAUUUUCAGGUAAUAGGG
rnacentral:lncRNA from 1 species